rnacentral:lncRNA from 1 species
GCAGAAGCAUCCAGAUGGUUUUGGGAAACUCCCAGUCCAGGCAGGCUGGCUCCUUACUUCUCAGACAAGGAACCUGGAAGGCAGCCCCUUAGGGACUGUGUUUCUUUCUGCAUGUGUUGGAACGUUAUGGUGCCAACCAGAGCCUGUGAACUUUUCAGCCUCCGAAUGGAUUGUUUGUUUUUAGCUGUUUAACCAGUUGAACUUUGUGAACCCAGAGCAAACCCAGAUGAUUCCCUGACGGUGCUUAGAGCUGAUCCAUUUUUAGAGAAGCCUUGUUUGAAAACCCAGGACCGACCGCGGUGAUGAGCACGAGUCCCUGAAGGGUUUUGAUGAACCGCUUUUAUGCUGAAUUGGAGACAUAAAUGCACAUCUCCGUGUACCGUCCUCGUUUACUAAAUUUCAUCUUUGGAAAUUCAAUGCUGCCUCUUGAGGAUAAAUUCCAGAUGAAAAUUGUAAUAUUGAUAUUAA